rnacentral:rRNA from 1 species
ACGCUGGCGGCGUGCCUAAUACAUGCAAGUCGAAACGGUCUUUUCUAUGGAAGCUUGCUUCCACUGAGAAGAUAGUGGCGAACGGGUGAGUAACACGUGGGUAACCUGCCCAUAAGAGGGGGAUAACAUCCGGAAACGGUGCUAAUACCGCAUAGUUUUCUUGAUCGCAUGAUUGAGAAAGGAAAGACGGCCUUUGUGCUGUCGCUUAUGGAUGGACCCGCGGCGUAUUAGUUAGUUGGUGAGGUAACGGCUCACCAAGACGAUGAUACGUAGCCGACCUGAGAGGGUGAUCGGCCACACUUGGGACUGAGGCACGGCCCAAACUCCUACGGGAGGCAGCAGUAGGGAAUCUUCCGCAAUGGACGAAAGUCUGACGGAGCAACGCCGCGUGAGUGAAAGAAGGUUUUUCGGAUCGUAAAACUCUGUUGUCAGAGAAGAACAAGUUGGAGAGUAACUGCUCCAGCCUUGACGGUAUCUGACCAGAAAGCCACGGCUAACUACGUGCCAGCCGCGGC